rfam:Dipodomys ordii contig_5943, whole genome shotgun sequence.
GGGAAGGUGGCUCAGUGGUAGAGUACUUGCCUUGCAUGUAUGAGGCCCUGAGUUCAAUUCCUCUGUACUACCU